UACGUAGGCAGCGAGCGUUGUUCAGAGUUACUGGGCGUAAAGCGUGCGUAGGCGGUGUCUUAAGUUUGUUGUGAAAUCUCCCGGCUUAACCGGGAGGGUGCGGCGAAUACUGAGAUGCUGGAGUGCCGGAGAGGUAAGCGGAAUUCCUGGUGUAGCGGUGAAAUGCGUAGAGAUCAUGAGGAAGACCAGUGGCGAAGGCGGGUCUCUGGACAGUUCCUGACACUGAGGCACGAAGGCCAGGGGAGCAAACGGG
rnacentral:rRNA from 1 species